ACCUUAGAAAGUAAAAACACAGUUCGGUUGGUAGUCCGGACAUCAGUUCAAGCUGAUCAGUAUCCUUCCUCUCCGGGAUGUCCCUCUUUCAUAAUUUAUUUU
rnacentral:ncRNA from 1 species